rnacentral:rRNA from 1 species
ACGUAGGGGGCGAGCGUUAUUCGGAAUUACUGGGCGUAAAGGGUAUGUAGGCGGCCCUUCAAGUCGUGUGUCAAAGUCCAGUGCUCAACGCUGGGUGUGCGCUGGAUACUGACGGGCUUGAGGGCUGGAGAGGUGAGCGGAAUUCCCGGUGUAGUGGUAAAAUACGUAGAGAUCGGGAGGAACACCAGUGGCGCAGGCGGCUAACUGGACAGUUUCUGACGCUAAGAUGCGAAAGCGUGGGGAGCAAACAG